AUUGCUUACAGUUGUUGACAGAAGACAGAACUUCCUUCUCCUGGUAUCAACAUGAGAGUGCUCAGUUUGAUUAUGUUGAGCGUAUUGUUCAUCUGUCUGUGUUUGACGACCGUUCACUCGAAUUAUCUGUAUGGACGAGGACAAACACAAGUACCAGCUUUGACAAACCGAGGAUUUAGGUACGGUGAUAUACUCUGUGCCUAUUGUCUACAUACGACUCCUUGUUGCUGCCGAUACCAUUGUACUUGGAGUAGACCAUUUCCUGGCCUCUUCCACCCUCAACCUGUUUUUUCCUCAGGAUUAUACCCAUAUUCACUUUCACCUUAUCCAAAGUUUUACAAACAUCGCUCAGUCUAUUAAUAUAUGAAUCAAUGGUUAUUGUAUCUUGGUAUGCAAAUUAAAGAAAUUAAGAGACUA